ACUCUGAAGACUGAUAGGCGAUAGCAAAAUGGCCCAAAUCCAACCGCCAAGAUCUUCCCAAAUCAGCAGGAAAUUUCUGUUCGUUAACUUCUUUUAUACAAAUCCAGCAUCAAUCAAUACAAAGUCUAGUUUCAAACGUCUUUCCUAAUUCCACUUUCCGCCCAAACACACUACACACUUCACACUCUCAUGUCGACUGCCGAGACGUCGGGUCAGGAUCUAAACCCGAACCCCAACACGCCCAAACGAGGCCCUAACAGACCCGACGAAACCCUAGCCGCCGACCUACCAUCCGAUCCGCUUCUCGAAUUCGAUUCCUUCAUCGACGCCACCGCCACCGGAGGUCACAGGACGCCUGAGCCGCUGCGCAGGCGCCGAUCUUCCGACGGCGCGUCGGCUUCCUUAGCCUCGGAGAAAUCGAACGGCGCGGAGCAGAACGCGGCGUCUACUGCCGGAGCUCAGCCACGUCGGGCGCCGGCGGCGCCGCCGGAUUGGUUGCCGCCCGGUUGGUAUAUCGAAGACAGAGUUCGGAGCUCCGGUGCCACAGCUGGAACGAUAGACAGGUAUUAUUUUGAUCCAGUUUCAAGCAGUCGAUUCCGGUCAAAGACGGAGGUUCUUUACUUUUUAGAAACAGGAACUAAACGUAAAAAGAAGAAACUAGUGGAGAACUCUGAUGCUGAUGCAAUCGAGAGUCAAAAGCAAAAGGUUGUUUUUCUGAAGGGCUCUGGGGGCCAGAAACAAAAGAAGUCUCCAGCAAAGGCCAAGAGUUCUGUUUUGAAAUUUGAUUUUCUUAAUGUGCCUGAGAAGGUCAACUGGGUUUUCACAAAUUCCUCCCAGGGGUCCUGGGCUCCUUUUAUUGGCGACAAAAAGGUGUCUGAAUCUAUCACACAAGAAUGGGCUACUGCGUUCACAGUCCUCACCUCCAGACAUGAUUCUCAGAUGAUGUUUUGAAGGGCAUUUUCCAAGCUCUCCAUUGUAUCAUUAAGAGUAUGAUCCCAUACUGACCAAUACAGGUACGUAUUUCAACCAUGGAGUUGUGCUUGGCAAUUUUGCUAACGGUUGAAGUGUAAGUUAUGCUUUUACAAAGAAGUCAAGAGCCCUACUAAAGCAUCAACCAUGGAUUCAAGUUUUGCAUAGAUUAUUAAUCUUUACGCUUCGAUCUGAGGUUGUGUUUUCUUGCAUCUGUGGCUGAUUGGAAACUGCUGACUACUAAGGAACUAAAUUGAUUUGGUUGGGUGGGGAUUGGCUGACUUAUUUCUUCAACUAGUGUUCUUCUUUAUCGAUAAUUAGAGUGAGAGAAACUUGGAUGUAACUGAUAGAUAUGAAUUUAUUAGACAAAGGUAUAUUUUGUUAAAGAGAAAUGAUAAAAAUCAUUCUUUCAACCAUCUCCAUAUAGUGAAUAGAUGAAUCUACCAUUGAAUUUGUGUGGGACUCACGUGAGUUUACAAAUUCAAUGGUUGAUCUAUUAUAUUUGCAAAAAGAUAUGGUUGAAAGAAUGAUGUGUAACAUGCCUCUUUGCUAAUACCUACUAAAAAAUUUGAGGAGUAAUACAUUGGUAUCAUUAGACAAAGGUGGCCAGAAAUGGGUGAGACGCUAUUUUGAGUAAAUGAGAUUUCACCAGUUUUGUUUAUC